UGGGCAACCUGCCCCUCUCUCUGGGAUAACCCCGGGAAACCGGAGCUAAUACCGGAUACUCCGGCUGGAUCGCAUGGUCCGGCCGGGAAAGGUCCGCCGGAGAGGGAUGGGCCCGCGGCCUAUCAGCUUGUUGGUGGGGUAGUGGCCUACCAAGGCGACGACGGGUAGCCGGCCUGAGAGGGUGACCGGCCACACUGGGACUGUGACACGGCCCAGACUCCUACGGGAGGCA
rnacentral:rRNA from 1 species